rnacentral:misc_RNA from 1 species
GAGUUCCAAGGAUUAAGUGGAAAUGUAUGUUAUUUUUCCUCAGGUUCUUGUUUGUUAAAUAGUAAAUAUACAAGUUAGUGUUUGUCUUUUUGGGUUUGUCACCAUGCUAGCAAAUGAAAAGGUAACCUUGUAUUGUUGUGCCUGUUAUAGUUUUUUGCCAACAUACACACCUGGACAUCCAAAUUGGGCUGAUGUAUGUAUGAUACAAAAGAACAAAAUUACAAUUGAUUUAAUUUGGAACUUCUCAAAUACGGUAUGCUUCAGUUGUUUAUCCCAUCUACAAACUAUUCUCCUUGUGCUCCUGGAGUAAGCUCAUCGAUGGUAAAAUGUGGUUGGUUGAUAUUUUGUCUUGUCUGUUCUUUAAAUUUUAAUAAAAUUGGUUGCUAAAUUUCUCCUAGUUGGCUGUUUUGAAUUUUUAGUACUUAUAGAAGAUAUUGAGUUGGUGUCUAGAGGAAUUAUUGCUGGUAUUUGUUGAUAGAGAUUAAGUUUCUGAUGCGGAACAAUGAGAAAAGGAACAAAGAAAGAUGGUAGGUACAGAAAUGAUAAAUGUAGGAGAAUUGACCUGUUUGGAUGUAUCCUUGAUUAGAGAUUGAACUUUCAUCAACAUAUAAAUCAAUCAUUAUUGAACUAUUUACUGGUUAAUUUUUCAAAUCACAAAGCACAUUCAAGCAAUUUAAUGGUUUUACAAUAAUUAUAAUUCUAAAUGAAAAUUCAUUUUCAUGUCUAGUUGUACAAAGCAUCCCACACUAGUGGAUUUUGGGGAGGGUUGAUGUAUUUACUAUUACACCAAAGGCACCCUUUAGUUUUGACAAGAUUUUUUUUUGAUAAAGUUUUAACAAGAUUUCUAACAAUAAUUUAUUAUAGCAGAAUUUCAAACAUAUUAUGAAGAGA